GACGAACGCUGGCGGCGUGCUUAACACAUGCAAGUCGAACGGAAAGGCCCUGCUUUUGUGGGGUGCUCGAGUGGCGAACGGGUGAGUAACACGUGAGUAACCUGUACCUGACUUUGGGAUAACUUCAGGAAACUGGGGCUAAUAUCGGAUAGGAGAUCCUGCUGCAUGGUGGGGGUUGGAAAGUUUCGGCGGUUGGGGAUGGUCUCGCGGCUUAUCCGCUUGUUGGUCGGGUAGUGGUUUACCAAGGCUUUGACGGGUAGCCGGCCUGAGAGGGUGACCGGCCACAUUGGGACUGAGAUACGGCCCAGACUCCUACGGGAGGCAGCAGUGGGGAAUAUUGCACAAUGGGCCGAAGCCUGAUGCAGCAGCGCCGCGUGCGGGAUGACGGCCUUCGGGUUGUAAACCGCUUUCGCCUGUGACGAAGCGUGAGUGACGGUAAUGGGUAAAGAAGCACCGGCUAACUACGUG
rnacentral:rRNA from 1 species